GAUGAAGAACGUAGCGAAAUGCGAUACGUAAUGUGAAUUGCAAAUUCAGUGAAUCUUCGAGUCUUUGAACGCACAUUGCGCCCCCUGGUAUUCCGGGGGGCAUGCCUGUCCGAGCGUCAUUGCUGCCCUCAAGCACGGCUUGUGUGUUGGGCCCCGUCCUCCGAUCCCGGGGGACGGGCCCGAAAGGCAGCGGCGGCACCGCGUCCGGUCCUCGAGCGUAUGGGGCUUUGUCACCCGCUCUGUAGGCCCGGCCGGCGCUUGCCGAUCAACCCAAAUUUUUAUCCAGGUUGACCUCGGAUCAGGUAGGGAUACCCGCUGAACUUAAGCAUAUCAAUAAGCGGAGGA
rnacentral:misc_RNA from 1 species